rnacentral:lncRNA from 1 species
ACUGCUGCCGCCGCCGCCACCGCAGCAGGUCACAGCCCCUCGAGGCGACAGCGGCCCCGCCGCACCAGAGCAGAGUCUCACUCUGUCACCCAGGCUGGAGUGAAGUGGAGCGAUCUCGGCUCACUGCAACCUCCGCCUCCUGGGCUCAAGCGAUUCUCCUGCCUUAGCCUCCUGCAUAGCUGGGACUACAGUGGUACAGGCAUGGAUGGGAAGAAAUGCAGCGUAUGGAUGUUCCUACCUCUUGUAUUUACUUUGUUUACUUCAGCUGGAUUGUGGAUAGUAUACUUCAUAGCUGUGGAAGAUGACAAAAUUUUACCAUUAAAUUCAGCUGAAAGGAAACCUGGUGUGAAGCAUGCACCAUAUAUAAGCAUUGCAGGUGAUGAUCCUCCUGCAAGCUGUGUGU